AAAAUAGCGUUUUAUCGGAUUCCGGUUCCGAGUGUCGGGAGUUCAAAUCUCUCCAGGCGCGCCA
rnacentral:tRNA from 1 species